UACGUAGGUGGCAAACGUUGUCCGGAUUCACUGGGCGUAAAGCGCGCGCAGGCGGAUUGGUCAGUCUGGGGUGAAAUCUCUCGGCUCAACUGAGAGAGGUCCCUGGAUACUGCCAGUCUUGAGGGGCUCAGAGGAGAGUGGAAUUCCGCGUGUAGUGGUGGAAUGCGUAGAUACGCGGAGGAACACCAGUGGCGAAAGCGGCUCUCUGGGGGCCACCUGACGCUGAGGCGCGAAAGCUAGGGGAGCAAACGGG
rnacentral:rRNA from 1 species